rnacentral:rRNA from 1 species
GAGUUUGAUUCUGGCUCAGGACAAACGCUGGCGGCGUGCAUAACACAUGCAAGUCGAACGAAAUCUACAUGAUUUAGUGGCGAACGGGUGAGUAACACGUGAGAAACCUGCCUUACACAGAGGGAUAGCCGUUGGAAACGACGAUUAAUACCUCAUGACACCGUGACAUCGCAUGAUGAUGCGGUCAAAGAUUNAUCGGUGUAAGAUGGUCUCGCGCCUGAUUAGCUGGUUGGUGGGGUAACGGCCUACCAAGGCGACGAUCAGUAGCCGAUCUGAGAGGGUGGACGGCCACAUUGGGACUGAGACACGGCCCAAACUCCUACGGGAGGCAGCAGUGGGGAAUUUUGCACAAUGGGGGAAACCCUGAUGCAGCGACGCCGCGUGAACGAAGAAGGCCUUCGGGUUGUAAAGUUCUGUCCUUGGUGAAGAUAAUGACA